rnacentral:rRNA from 1 species
CAGCAGCCGCGGUAAUACCAGCUCUCCGAGUGGUAGGGAUGUUUAUUGGCUUAAAGCGUCCGUAGCCGGCUCAGCAAGUCUUCUGUAAAAUCCAGCGAUCUAAUCGUUGGACUGCAGGGGAUACUGUUGGGCUAGGGGACGGGAGAGGCCGACGGUAUUUCCGGAGUAGGGGUGAAAUCCUAUAAUUCCGGGAGGACCACCAGUGGCGAAGGCUGUCGGCUAGAACGAGCUCAACGGUGAGGGACGAAAGCUGGGGGAGCGAACCGGAUUAGAUACCCGGGUAGUCCCAGCUGUAAACGAUGCGGGCUAGGUGUUAGGGUGGCUACGAGCCACCCUAGUGCCGCAGCGAAGGCAUUAAGCCCGCCGCCUGGGGAGUACGGCCGCAAGGCUGAAACUUAAAGGAAUUGGCGGGAGAGCACCACAAGGCGUGAAGCGUGCGGUUUAAUUGGAGUCAACACCGGAAACCUUACCGGGGGCGACAGCAGGUUGAAGGCCAGAUUGACGAUCUUGCCAGACAAGCUGAGAGGAGGUGCAUGGCCGUCGCCAGUUCGUGCCGUGAGGUGUCCUGUUAAGUCAGGCAACGAUCGAGACCCACGCUCCCUGUUGCUACCAAGGAAAGUUUCCAAGGGGCACUCUGGGAGGACUGCCGCCGACAAGGCGGAGGAAGGAGUGGGCCACGGCAGGUCAGUAUGCCCCGAAUCCCCCGGGCCACACGCGUGCUGCAAUGGCCGGUACAAUGGGUUCCUACCUCGUGAGAGGAUGGUAAUCCCGAAAGCCGGUCGUAGUUUGGAUCGAGGGCUGCAACCCGCCCUCGUGAAACUGGAAUGCCUAGUAAUCGCGUGUCAUUAACGCGCGGUGAAUACGUCCCUGCCCCUUGCACAC